AGCUGUGUUCUUGAGUUUAUAGCAUAUCUAUGAAGAAGUGCAGCUUAUCUGUGGUGUUCAUUUUCCAGAGGAAUGUCUGGCCAAAUAAGUAUAUAAACUGCAUGCUGGGUGCUACUCAUUUAUGAAUCCAUGUAAAAUGAUUUGCUGUUCUGUGGUAGUAUUUUAGUUCAUAUUUAAAUGAUUUUUUUUUUUCAUAGGCCAUCGUACAUCCUCUGUGUGUCUUGAGGAGCUGGUCUUUGGAUAAUGCUGAGCAGGUCUUUCUUUCUGUGAAGUAAAAGAAUUUAACAGACAGAUUUACAAACAACUGACGAAAGAAGGGAGACCAUUCAAUAGCGGAUGCCCUUCCAGCUGCAACCCAGUACUGGGAAA